UACGAAGGGGGGCGAGCGUUGUUCGGAUUUACUGGGCGUAAAGGGCGCGCAGGCGGCUUUGUUUGUCAGGCGUGAAAGCCCCGGGCUUAACCUGGGAACUGCGUUUGAUACGGCAGGGCUAGAGUUCGGGAGAGGAGAGUGGAAUUCCCAGUGUAGAGGUGAAAUUCGUAGAUAUUGGGGAAGAACACCGGUGGGCGAAGGCGGCUCUCUGGACCGAUACGUGACGCUGAGG
rnacentral:rRNA from 1 species